rnacentral:tRNA from 1 species
GCCGGCAUAGCUCAGUUUGGUAGAGCAACCGCCUUGUAAGCGGUAGGUCCCCAGUUCGAAUCCGGGUGCCGGCA